AACGCACAUUGCGCCCGCCGGCAUUCUGGCGGGCAUGCCUGUCCGAGCGUCAUUUCAACCCCUCAGGCCCCCCCCGCGGGGCUUGGCGUUGGGGACCGGCCACGCCGACCCGGCGGCCGCCCCCGAAAUCCAGUGGCGGCCGCGCCGCGGCUCCCCCUGCGCAGUAGCAAUCGCCUCGCAGCCGGGACGCGGCGCGGCCACGCCUCGACGCAAGACCAUCUCGUGGUUGACCUCGGAUCAGGUAGGGAUACCCGCUGAACUUAA
rnacentral:misc_RNA from 1 species